AUGAAGAAUUUAGAUGUGUAUACCAUUUCCAGUGUGAUUAAGGAUCUCUAUGGAAUAAAGGAUGACAUCUUCCUCAGUGAGCCCUUCAUCCUGGAACAAAAUGGAAUCUCAGAUGUUGUGGAUUCCAGAAAGCAGGCUUCUCACACUCGGACAGCAAUCUGCUGAAGAAGGCAACUUUAAGAAACCAACUCGAAGCAAUAGGCAGAGAAGUAAGUUGAGAGGAGCUGCCUCGGGAAAGAAGUCAGCUGGUUCACAGCCAAAGAAUCCGAUCCCUGCCCGGAAGAUGGGGAGGUCACUCUGCUGAGAAACCCGCUUCUGGUUCUGUGUGGAACACAAGGAAGAACAAGCAGAAGACUCCUGGCAACAGAGACAGUGGUAGUACCAAUGAAGAAAAGGGCACGGGCUGACCCCCGCUCUGGAGAGCGAGGAGGCAUUCAAGAGUAGGAUGGAGGUGAAGGCGACGAUCCCUGAAGAAUUAAAACCAUGGCUGGUGGAGGACUGGGACUUGAUUACUAGGCAGAAGCAGUUGUUCCAGCUCUCUGCUAAAAAGAAUGUCGAUGCUAUUCUUGAGGAGUACGCCAAUUGCAAGAAAUCACAGGGAAAUGUUGAUAAUAAGGAGCAUGCAGUUAAUGAAGUUGUAGGAGGGAUAAAAAGAGUAUUUCAAUGUGAUGCUGGACGCUCAGCUGCUCUGCAAGGUUGAAAGGCCUCAGUAUGCUGAGAUUCUGCUGGCUCACUCUGAUGCGCCAAUGUCGGAGACCUACCGUGGGCCACACCUACUGAGAUUACUCAUGAGAACUGGGGCAAUGUUGGGUAUACUCCCCUUGAUGGGAAAAGCCUGGCAUUAUUGCUGGGCUAUCUGCAUGAUUUCCUUAAGUAUCUGGCAAUGAAUUCUGCCUCUCUGUUUACUUCCAAUGAUUACAAAGUGGCUUCUGCUGACUGUCAUCGGAAAGCCCUGUGAAGGUCUACUGACCACUCACGAUUGUCUGGUAUCUGUAAACACUUCUGUUUAGUCCUUUCAUGGUAUAACUGAUGUUCUUUAAAACUCAGUGUAAAACAGGGCUUAUGUUUCAGUUUAUUUUCCUGUUCUGUUGUAGACAGAAAAUAAAAGGAGUGCCUAGCUCCUUUCCUCAUUUCAAAAUUGCUACCAGUGUAUGCAAUAAUUAGACAAAGAAGAAAUUCAGUAGACCAUUUUAUUGCCUAGUUGACAACAUUGCUUGAAUGCUGGUGGUUCUAUCCCUUUGACACUACACAGUUUUCUAAUAUGUGUUAAUGCUACGUGAUGAGAUGCCCUG